rnacentral:rRNA from 1 species
ACCCGCUGAACUUAAGCAUAUCAAUAAGCGGAGGAAAAGAAACUAACAAGGAUUCCCCUAGUAACGGCGAGUGAAGCGGGAAGAGCUCAAAUUUAAAAUCUGGUUUGCUUGCAAAUCCGAGUUGUAGUCUGAAGAAACGUUUUCCAUGAAAAUCGAGGCACAAGUCCUUUGGAACAGGGCAUCAUAGAGGGUGAGAAUCCCGUCCAUGGUCUCGAAUCUUUCAUUUUGUGAUACGUUUUCUAAGAGUCAGGUUGUUUGGGAAUGCAGCCUAAAAUGGGUGGUAAAUUUCAUCUAAAGCUAAAUAUUGGCGAGAGACCGAUAGCGAACAAGUACCGUGAGGGAAAGAUGAAAAGAACUUUGAAAAGAGAGUUAAAAAGUACGUGAAAUUGUUGAAAGGGAACCGUUUGAAGCCAGUCUUGCUUGCCUGUGAUCAAUCUUAGCUUUGGCUUGGAUGCACUCUCAGGCUAUGCAGGUCAACGUCAGUUUGAGAGGUGUGAAAAAAGUUUGAGGAAUGUGGCCUUCGGGUGUUAUAGCCUCUUACUAAAUAGCAUCUUUUGGACUGAGGCUCGCAGCAAAAAUGUGGGUUGGUUUGCUCCUGAGUUGAAGCUCUAUCAAGACAGCUUGCUGACUUGGUUUAGUGGAGGCUCACGGUAGACCGGCUUCUAAUUUGCUUAGGUCGUUGACAUAAUGGCUUUAAAUGACCCGUCUUGAAACACGG